UUCAUUUUUAUUUUGAAAUUGCCUUUGAUUUUUAACAAGUAGCAAUUUGGCUUAGCUAAUCUUGAUGUCCUGACAUCAUUAGCGUGUGAAUACCGUAGCUUGAUUAGAGGGGUUACUCUAGCCUAAUCCGGGAAUGUUACACUAUUUUCUUGAGAGAAGCACUAGUGAAAUCUACGACCCAGGGGUCUAUUCAAUCAUCAUAUACUUUCAGAUCCAUAUUGCUAUUUGCCUUUUCCUUUAUUUGCAACAUUUAUUUUCAGAUCUAUAUUAUGAAAAACACAAAAAUACCUUGUUGCACUUUUUUGUUACUUCUUUUAUUUCGUCUUUACGAGAGAUCUAUUUAUCCAAACUAUCGUCAAACUAUCUAUCUUACGUCACGUUGCAAGUGUUUGUUAUUUGUGUGCAGACGCCGUCUACAUAGUGUUGCGUAAUUCUUCUAUUGGUUCGAUAACCUUGGUCUGAUCAUUGAGGGAAAUACCUACCAUUGUUGUGCUGCAUCAUCCCUUCCUCUUUGAGAAAAAUACCAACAUAGUUCAAGCGACAUCACGUUCCUUUGGUGCGUAGUGGUCUUAUUGCAGAGGAAAUAUCAAACACACCUUGCCAUCAACCAUGAUGAAGAUCCAGAGCUGCUUGUUGGCAUGAUCGACGACCCACCUGAAGAGGCAUCGUCAUCGGUACCUUCAAAAGCCUGAUGCCCUGCCAAGAAUGAACAAAAACCUUGUGCAACUCACUGAUGAGCGGGUUAUGUGCCACUUCGUCAAGCUCAUCAAUGGUCGUGUCAUCGUUGAUCCCAACUAUUAUGUGGCCAGGCUCAAGCGAGUGGUUGACAGAAAUGAUGUCCCCGACGAAGAAGAGGAAUACCAUCAUGAUAUCUUGUGGGGGCAGGUCGUGCGUGGAAUAUGUUACCAAAGGGGAGAGAUUGAGAUGGAGCGGUUCCACGGGCGUGUCAUGCGCGUGAUUGCACGUUGUCAAUAUCUACUCGAUGAGGCCCGGCAGCCCCAAGAGCCUUCUAGUAGCAUCGGG
rnacentral:lncRNA from 1 species